rnacentral:lncRNA from 1 species
GAAAUCCUAGCAGCACUGGAGGAUUCAUCUCCCCGCCCUGCUGUGCCGUGGAGAUGGGGUGCCCCGCGAGGAAGCGAUGUCCCCUCCUGCGCAUGGAUUUCGGCUGAAUGUCAAACCAGCAUGGCUACUGGGAGAACUGGGACAGGAAAAUGAGCUGGGAAUCGUCUGAUGGAGCUGCUCUCCACCACGGGAACCCUGUGCUGUGCCCCUCUGAACACUGAAUUUGGGAAUAUUUGGGAUGUGCAUGGUGCCCCCCUGCUCCUGCAGCUGGCAGCACGCCUGGAGGACAAGGUGCAGGCUGGCCGAGCCGUUCCCUUGUCCUGACACUUGUUUCUCUGCACGUUUUGGCACCUUUCUGCUGCUGAAAGGGGCAGAUGCAAUAACUGCUGGAGUGUCUCCAUCGCUAGGAGUGAGGAGGAGCAAUCAGCCUGACCACGUGCAGGCUUGGGACUUCUCCUCGACCAAGCGGACAGCCCUGAGCAGGAGGAUUUGCCCUGGGAUGUUUUCUCUUUGGGAUGAUCUCAAGAGUCUGGAGCCCUCGUGGACUGCAGAGGGGUUUGGAUGUUCCCUUCUGCCUCCGUCUGGGAGCGAGCCUUGCUGCCUGAAGGCCACGGACACCUGCUUCUCCCCGAAUCUGGUGGAUUAUUGCUCUUGGCAUCGUCCUGCUGCUGCAGCGUUUUUUUUGUGGAUCUCAUGGAGCUGCCUUUGCAUGAAACCACCCAGCUCACAGAUAUGGGAAAGCAGCAGCUCCAGCACAGGGCUCAGAGCCCCUCUCUUUUUUUUUUUUUGGGCUGCUUCAUUCAGCAUCGUGGCUCUUUGGAGGAGGAUGGAGUCUGUGCACCUGUGUAGGACAAGUCCCGCUGGUCUUAGAACGGAGGCACCCCGCUGCUUUUCUGCACUUUAA